AUGUUCGACCAGAGAGGAACUGUAGCUUCCCACCGUACAGGCUACACAAGGGAUCUGACUGAGCCUCUGCUGCAUCGGCUUUGCGUCCGGCUUCUGGAUCAGCUUCUAGUCACAGACGGAGAGAGAUUCAAUUCUAUGCAGAGUAUGGAUCCCUUUACAGUGUUCCUUGUGGCAAGUUGGACAGAGAUGGAUUUAUCCCACUUCUGUAAUUGUCCAGAACAGGAAGGUUCUGUCACACUGCCCGGCUCUGGUUGGGGGUCGUCAACUACAGGAGAAGGUUCUGGUGUGCUGUCAGGAUCCGGUUCGGGGUCGUCAACUACAGGUGAAGGUUCUGUUGCGCUGUCAGGAUCCGGUUUAGGGUCGUCAACUGCAGGAGAAGGUUCUGUUGCGCUGUCAGGAUCAGGUUGGGGGUCGUCAACCACAGAAGAUGGUUCUGGUGUGCUGUCAGGAUCCGGUUCGGGGUCGUCAACUACAGGAGAAGGUUCUGUCGCACUGUCAGGAUCCGGUUCGGGGUCGUCAACUACAGGAGAAGGUUCUGUCGCGCUGUCAGGAUCCGGUUCGGGGUCGUCAACUACAGGAGAAGGUUCUGUUGCGCUGUCAGGAUCCGGUUGGGGGUCGUCAACUACAGGAUCUGCUUUGACGUCAUCAGCUGCAGAAUCUGCUUCAGCAUCAUCAGCUACAGGAUCUGCUUCAGCAUCAUCAGCUACAGGAUCUGCUUCAGCAUCAUCAGCUACAGGAUCUGCUUCAGCAUCAUCAGCUGCAGGAUCUGCCUCGACGUCAUCAGCUGCAGAAUCUGCCUCGACGUCAUCAGCUGCAGAAUCUGCUUCAGCGUCAUCAGCUGCAGAAUCUGCUUCAGCGUCAUCAGCUGCAGAAUCUGCUUCAGCGUCAUCAGCUGCAGGUUCUGCAGGUGUUUCCUGUAUUCAGCAAAAUAUUUGA
rnacentral:lncRNA from 1 species